rnacentral:rRNA from 1 species
UACGGAGGGUGCGAGCGUUAAUCGGAAUUACUGGGCGUAAAGCGCGCGUAGGCGGUUUGUUAAGUCGGAUGUGAAAGCCCCGGGCUCAACCUGGGAACUGCACCCGAUACUGGCCGACUUGAGUGCGAGAGAGGGAGGUAGAAUUCCAUGUGUAGCGGUGAAAUGCGUAGAUAUAUGGAGGAAUACCGGUGGCGAAGGCGGCCUCCUGGCUCGACACUGACGCUGAGGUGCGAAAGCGUGGGUAGCAAACAGU